GCCUUAAUUUAGAGAGAUUAGAGGAGAAAGAAAACCCUUCCACCACAUAUCAGAAGAGAGCCAAAAAUCGAUUAAGGCACUGUCUCUUUAGCUGCUUCCGCCGCGUCAUCAAAUGCCAUCUUCGCCAAUUUAAGUACCCAAUAUACAGUUCAUACCAACAAGGUGUAUGAAAUCUAUACCGCUGCGAUCUAAGUUCCUCGUCGCCCAAAACCUAACUGCUCAAAGUUGGACAAAGUUACUUCUAUCCGUGCUGAAUUGAAGUGGCUCAUUAUUAUUGCCAAAUUAUGAUGACAAAUACAAAGGUCUUGCUGCUACGUACGAUAUCGAUUGCAGGAACUAGCUAGUAAGAAGAGCAAGUACCUAUUAUCCAGAGCUACGACCAAUAGAGCAUCCUCUCUUGAAGGCUAAU